UGUCGCUCAUCUUGGUCUAUGUGAAUAUUAAACAAUGGACACAGAUGGAUUCAUGACAAAAUUGUGUUUUGGUGAUGGUGAUGUGUUUGUAGAUCUUAUAUUACUAAACAUUCUUGCUGCUUACAAUUAUCUCUAUCUAUAACAGUACUUUUUGUGGAAAAUGUUAUUGAAAAUCUUCAAAUUUUAAGAAAAUUGUUAAAGAUUGACUAUGAGGG
rnacentral:lncRNA from 1 species